UGAGGGUAGGUCAGCACGAUGAAAGUUACGUGUCUAAGCCCUUAGAGGGAAGAGAUAGGCAAAUCCGUCUCUUUACUAACCUCAAGAGGUGACGGGGAGCUGCUACGGCGGCGAACUGAUUGAUCCCACACUGGCAAGAAAAACCUCAAUAACCAGACAAGACGGCAUCCGUACUAAAACCGACACAGGUAGGUAGGUAGAGAAUACCAAGGCGCUCGAGAGAACCCUCGUUAAGGAACUCGGCAAAAUGACUCCGUAACUUCGGGAGAAGGAGUGCCUCAUUAGGGUGAACUGAUUAACUUAAGCAAGCCCGAGGAGGCUGCAAAGAAACGGCCCAAGCGACUGUUUACUAAAAACACAGGUCUCUGCUAAAUCGUAAGAUGAUGUAUAGGGACUGACGCCUGCCCGGUGCUGGAAGGUUAAGGAAGGGGGUUAGCCGCAAGGCGAAGCUUCUGACCGAAGCCCCAGUAAACGGCGGCCGUAACUAUAACGGUCCUAAGGUAGCGAAAUUCCUUGUCGGGUAAGUUCCGACCCGCACGAAUGGCGUAACGAUUUGGGCACUGUCUCAGCGAGGGACUCGGUGAAAUUGUAGUGCAAGUGAAGAUGCUUGCUACCCGCGACAGGACGGAAAGACCCCGUGAACCUUUACUAUAGCCUGAUAUUGGAUUUUAGCAUUCCCCGUGUAGGAUAGGUGGUAGGCUGUGAAUGGGAGGCGCUAGCCUCUCAGGAGCCAACCUUGAAAUACCACCCUCGGUCUGUUGGAAUUCUAACCCCAUGCCGUUAUCCGGCUGGGGAACAGUAUUUGGUGGGUAGUUUGACUGGGGCGGUUACCUCCAAAAAAGUAACGGAGGUGUCCAAAGGUCUCCUCAGUGUGGUUGGAAAUCACACCAUAGAGUGCAAGGGCAGAAGGAGGCUUAACUGUGAGAGAGACGUCUCGAACAGAUGCGAAAGCAGGGCCUAGUGAUCCGGCGGUAGCUAGUGGAUGUGCCGUCGCUUAUCGGACAAAAGGUACUCCGGGGAUAACAGGCUGAUCUCCCCCAAGAGUCCACAUCGACGGGGAGGUUUGGCACCUCGAUGUCGGCUCGUCGCAUCCUGGGGCUGAAGCAGGUCCCAAGGGUUUGGCUGUUCGCCAAUUAAAGCGGUACGUGAGCUGGGUUUAGAACGUCGUGAGACAGUUCGGUCCCUAUCCGUCGCGGGCGCGGGAUACUUGAGAGGGUCUGCCUCUAGUACGAGAGGACCGAGGUGGACGAACCUCUAGUGUACCAGUUGUUCUGCUCAGGGCAUCGCUGGGUAGCUAUGUUCGGUUGAGAUAAACGCUGAAAGCAUCUAAGCGUGAAGCUCGCCUCAAGAUGAAGUAUCCAUCUGGAUCAAAUCCAGGAGAGAUCCCGGGAAGAAGACCCGGUUGAUAGGUCAGAUGUGUAAGACCAGUAAUGGUUUGAGCUAACUGAUCCUAAUAGAUCGAAGACUUGACCGU
rnacentral:rRNA from 1 species